rnacentral:rRNA from 1 species
ACGUUAGCGGCUGACGGGUGAGUAACACGUGGGUAACCUACCUAUAAGACUGGGAUAACUUCGGGAAACCGGAGCUAAUACCGGAUAAUAUUUCGAACCGCAUGGUUCGAUAGUGAAAGGUGGUUUUGCUAUCACUUAUAGAUGGACCCGCGCCGUAUUAGCUAGUUGGUAAGGUAACGGCUUACCAAGGCGACGAUACGUAGCCGACCUGAGAGGGUGAUCGGCCACACUGGAACUGAGACACGGUCCAGACUCCUACGGGAGGCAGCAGCA